rnacentral:rRNA from 1 species
AGCAGCCGCGGUAAUUCCAGCUCCAAUAGCGUAUAUUAAAGUUGUUGCAGUUAAAAAGCUCGUAGUUGAAUUUCGGGAUCAGUUGGUCGGUCGUGCCUCGGUACGUACUGGUCAAAUUGAUUCCUACCUUCUGACGAACCACGAUGUCAUUAAUUUGGUGUCGUGGGGAAUCAGGACUGUUACUUUGAAAAAAUUAGAGUGUUUAAAGCAGGCUCGCGCUUGAAUACAUUAGCAUGGAAUAAUGAAAUAGGACGUUUGAUUCUAUUUUGUUGGUUUCUAGGAUCGACGUAAUGAUUAAUAGGGAUAGUUGGGGGCAUUAGUAUUCAAUUGUCAGAGGUGAAAUUCUUGGAUUUAUUGAAGACUAACUACUGCGAAAGCAUUUGCCAAGGAUGUUUUCAUUAAUCAAGAACGAAAGUUAGGGGAUCGAAGACGAUCGGAUACCGUCGUAGUCUUAACCAUAAACUAUGCCGACUAGGGAUCGGAUGAUGUUAAUUUUUUAAUGACUCAUUCGGCGCCUUAC